CUUUCUUUUAUCAUUUUUUAUAAAAAUGAUAAAGUCCAGGUACUAUUUAAAUAACACCUCAAAACUUGAAAUACAUUUUGAAGAGGCUGCACGUUGGGUAAGGAAACAGAAAAUCAGGUUUGGACCCCUUUGUGUUGGGCCUGGGUGUGUGCUCUGAUAAUGCAGAAUAACCUCCUAGGAAAAGAGCAUGAAUAAAUGUAGUUUGAGGGGAAAAUUCUUAUUUUAAACUAGACCAUGUUUAUGAACUUGAGAAUUCUUCAUUCAAUAUUUUGGUUCCAAGUGUAAAAAUGAGAAGAGUGAAACUUCUCUAAAAUUAUCACUUGUUUUCUUUGUUUUUUUGGGAAGGUAUCUGCAUACUUUUCAAAUCUAUUUACUUGCUAGCAAAGGUGUUCGAGGCAGCUGAAAUAUAUUGUAUUAAUUACUGUUCUGAAAAUAUGCUUGGUGCAGUGGUUUGCACUGUCAAAGAUCUUCAGGUCAAACUUUCCAUGUCUCUGUCUCUCUAUUCUAACUCCAGGUUUACACUGAGCUUAUUGCCAAAUGUGACAUAUUGAGCAGUGAUAGUGAGAUAUAAGCAGACAUCCUAAGUAGAAUUGCCAAAGCUGUUGUUGAGGCUGGGUGAGAAGAGACUUAAAUGACAGACUCCUGAUUCGAAAAGGAGUUGAAGACGUGCUGAAACAGCUUUACAGUUAUCUAAUGUUUAGGCAUUUUACAUUAAUGGGCCUGACCAUUAUGGAAAAAAAAUACUGUAGUUCUAAGGAAACACAGCUUGCUCUGAAUAUAGUACUCCAGCAACAAGGAGUUCCUACAGUAUUUUAUUGUUGCUGUGGUAGAAGAAUGACAUAUACAGGGUCCUGAAACCAUGAUUUCUUACCCAUCUCUCCUGUCCAGUGAUGCUUCUGGCCUAGCCAACCUUGGUCAUAAUGCCCAUCCCUUAGGAAAUCAGUCAUGGAUUUGGAGAGAGGCUGCUCUGUAAAUCAAACUCAUGCAACAUAAGGAAAUCUGGGUUGUUUUGAAAACCGAGAGAAUGAAACAUCUUGAAAAUUAUUAUUAUUAUUAGUUGGAGGAGGAGGGGUAAUAAAUUCAUUAGGUGUAGUAAACUAUCUCGUGGACUGGUUCCUCAGCUGUGAGGAUGCACAUGUCUUCAUGAAACCUCAUUUUGUUCAUCUGCUGUACGCUGGUUUGGCAAUAGCAAGUGUCUCUUUUCUUACAUUCAAGAACUUAAAAAAUCACUAGGUGAAUGAACUGCUCCCCUACAGGGCCCUUUAGUUAUGGCCAGCUCAGCUGGGGCCUUGGAGUCGCAGCAAGCUGCCUCCCUCCCAGUGAUCUCAUGCAGGUAGUAGAGAGCCAGGCUCCGCUUAAACGUUCCAUAGGGAGUGCCCGGAGUCUGGGUGUCAGCACUCCUUGAGUGCAAUAGGGUACACGGACACUGCUGUUAAUGCUCAUUAUCUAAGAUAAGGCAUGGCUCUGAGCUCCAUUUUGCAGCUGGAGGGCUAUCAUCUAGAAGGCAGAAACUCUGCUUAAGUACCCUGUAUACUCUGCUUCCUGCUAAUAAGCAUAUUCCCACAACACAUCUGGUGCCAUUGUUUGGUCUGCCCCAAAGGUAGACCAUAUGGUUGCUUCUGCUUCAGCAGGGUAUCUUCUUCUCGAGCCAUAAUUAAGUACCUAAUUUUUACGCCUGUUAUUUUUUUCUCCAAUAUACACUGCUUGCACUGACAAAUCUUUUAGUAAUUAAUUAAUGAACAUUUGUCUAGAACCCAGGAAUUGUGCCUGAUAUUUUAGGAAGGAUAAAGACUUGGAUGGGGCAUAUGCAGAGAUAUAAAGGGCUGUUAAGCUGCUCACAAGAGUCAGGAGCCAUUGGAAGCUAGGAUUUUUCCCUGUGUGUCUUUGAAAAGCUUCAGCCUCCCUGCUGAACUUACCCAGGAACAAUAAGGCAUGUCACAGGAAAGAUGACAUUCAGCAGCAAGCAAAGAUACUUUAAACAAAAUAAGGUUAGGAGGUUGCUUGGCUUUGUAAGAUGUGUGUGGCUUUUUCUGUAUUCUAGGUCCCUCCCAUCUUAUUUUAUUAGGCUAGCAUGAAGCUGAAAGAGCUACUUAGUCUGGAGAAGAGAAGACUAAGGAGGGUUCGGGUUGGAUAUUGUAAGUCUUCAAAUACCUGAGGAGCGAUCACAGGGAAGAUGGAGAUAGGGGACAGGAAGAGGAGCAAUGG